UAAAUUUUAUGUAUGCUAUAAAUACGUACCAUAUGUUUUGGUCGCAUAUUAUCGUGGCUAGUUUUCAACCGUAUAUAGCGACAACACUGUUAAUUCCAUGGAUUGAGAACUUGUACUUUAUGUGUUCCUGCCAUAUAUACAAGAUAUCAGAGUAGCGAAGCUUAUCCAAAGCAUAAAUGCUACAUAAUUUGAGUCUAGAGAAGCUAGCAGGAGGUAAAGACAUGAAGCCUGUACUAUCAACAAAAGUUGUUCUUCUAAUAGUAUUCUUAGUUAUAUGCUACUUUUCAUCAUCUCUUAUUGGAGGGCAUGCAAGAAGUGUAAGGACAGACCCUUUUGGAAUUCAUGCUACUCAUCUUGGUCAAGAAAAUCUUGUUAAUUCAGAAAAACAGGAGAAACUUAAAGAUGAUGAGGGAGAUCUGGUCUCAAUGGAUUAUACAGCACCUAGAAGAAAACCACCGAUUCAUAACUAGAGUUGUCAAAUUUAAUGAGCAUGUGCAUUGUGUCGGGAUUUGUACUUAUUAUGGUCUUGCAUGGGUCACUUCUUUUGAUUUGUGAAAGCAACGUUAAUAUAUUAAGUAUAUUAUUUUGUAUUAAUAAUUAGUAGAGGAGUGAAGACCGUUGCUAUA